AGAGUUUGAUCCUGGCUCAGGAUGAACGCUGGCGGUGUGCCUUAGGCAUGCAAGUCGAACGGUAACAGGUCCUUCGGGACGCUGACGAGUGGCAGACGGGUGAGUAACACGUAGGAAUCUACCCAGUAGUGGGGAAUAGCUUACCGAAAGGUAAGAUAAUACCGCAUACGCCCUUCGGGGGAACGACGCAAGUCGCUAUUGGAGGAGCCUGCGCACUAUCAGCUUGUUGGUGGGGUAACGGCCUACCAAGGCUACGACGGUUAGCCGAUGUGAGAGCAUGAUCGGCCACAAGGUUACUGAGACACGGAACCUACACCUACGGGUGGCAGCAACCGGGAAUUUUGCACAAUGGGCGAAAGCCUGAUGCAGCGACACCGCGUGCGGGAAGACGCUUUUAGGAGUGUAAACCGCUGUGGCGAGGGAUAAAGUUCUGAUAGUACCUCGCUAGAAAGCACCAGCUAACUACGUGCCAGAAGCUUCGGUAAUACGUAGGGUGCAAGCAUUAUCCGGAUUUACUGGGCGUAAAGGGUCCGUCGGCGGCCAACUAAGUUGUUUGUUUAAGCCCGAGGCUCAACUUCGGAACAGCAAACAAAACUGAUUGGCUAGAGUUUAAUCGAGGAAACUAGAAUUCUUGGUGGAGGGGUGAAAUCCGUAGAUAUCAAGAGGAAUACCAAGCGCGAAGGCAGGUUUCUAGGUUACAACUGACGCUCAGGGACGAAAGUUUGGGUAGCAAAGCGGAUUAGAGACCCGUGUAGUCCAAACUGUGAACACUCUUUGCUAGCUAUCUGGUCUUCGGACUGGGUGGCGUAAGCUAACGCGUUAAGCAAAGCGCCUGGGGAGUACGGCCGCAAGGCUAAAACUCAAAGGAAUUGACGGGGGAGCGCACAACCGGUGGAGCAUGUGGUUUAAUUCGAUACAAAGCGAAAAACCUUACCCGGGAUUGACAUGUACCUGCACGGUCUAUGAAAGUAGAUCUUCUUCGAGAGUGGUACACAGGUGAUGCAUGGCUGUCGUCAGCUCGUGUCGUGAGCCGUCCACUUAAGUGUGGUAACGAGCGCAACCCUUAUCGUUAGUUAUACAUGUCUAGCGAAACUGCCCCGCUUUCGGCGGGGAGGAAGGAGAGGACGACGUCAAGUCAGCACGUCCCUUACACCCGGGGCGACACACAUCCUACAAUGGAGCCGACAACAGGUAGCGACAGGGCAACCUCGAGCCAAUCCUAAUAAACGGCCCCUCAGUUCAGAUUGCGGGCUGCAACUCGCCCGCAUGAAGCCGGAAUCGGUAGUAAUCGCAAAUCAGCAGGUUGCGGUGAAUACGUUCUCGCUCCUUGUACACACUGCCCGUCAAGCCAGCAAAGUCAGCAACGCCCGAAGCGGAUGACUCCAACUCGCAAGAGAGGAGCUCUUCUACGGCGAGGUUGGCGAUGAGGACUAAGUCGUAACAAGGUAACCGUA
rnacentral:rRNA from 1 species